GACGAACGCUGGCGGCGUGCUUAACACAUGCGAGUCGAGCGGAAAGGCCACUUCGGUGGUACUCGAGCGGCGAACGGGUGAGUAACACGUGAGUAAUCUGCCCCUCACUUUGGGAUAGCCACCGGAAACGGUGAUUAAUACCGGAUAUGACCAUAUGUCGCAUGGCGUGUGGUGGAAAGUUUUUCGGUGAGGGAUGUGCUCGCGGCCUAUCAGCUUGAUGGUGAGGUAAUGGCUCACCAUGGCUUCGACGGGUAGCCGGCCUGAGAGGGUGACCGGUCACACUGGGACUGAGACACGGCCCAGACUCCUACGGGAGGCAGCAGUGGGGAAUAUUGGACAAUGGGCGGAAGCCUGAUCCAGCAACGCCGCGUGAGGGAUGACGGCCUUCGGGUUGUAAACCUCUUUCAGUACCGACGAAGCGCAAGUGACGGUAGGUACAGAAGAAGCACCGGCCAACUACGUG
rnacentral:rRNA from 1 species